AUUUAAAUUAUGAUUAAUUGAGAGAGCAAAAAAAUAAAAAUUGGAGUCCAAUUUAAAAUUUUGCUCUGCAAUAAAAAUCGGUCAUCAAAUCAAAAUCGUCCGGUUCUUAAUUCUAAGAUGCAAAACCAAAUUGAUUCUUAAUUCUAAGACCUAGACCAUAACUUUUUGGUUCGACCCAAAACCAAAACGGUUCAGUCCUUAUCCAAGUCUAUAAUUAUAAAUAAAAAUGUUCGCUCCUGGAAAAAUAUGGAGAAAACUGAGAAGCAAACCCACCUACAAAUUAACCAAAGCAAUUGAUUAGUGUAAGGAUUUGCAAAAUAAAUUUAAGAAAAUCAAGAGCAAAAUCUGAAAAUAAAAAGAACGGUUUUCCCUUUUAUGAUUCGGCUCAGAAACUUGUUCCACACCACAAAGGUUUCUCCAAUUUGAAGGCCAUUAUCAAUCACACAGACAGAUUCACAAAGAAAAGGCAAGAGAAGAUUGGUUUGCACUAAGCAGGGAAGUUUUUCUUCCUCUUGGUUUUGGCUCUCG
rnacentral:lncRNA from 1 species